GCACUGCUGAGGAGUCCCACAAUAGGACGAAAAGGCCGUCUAGUGC
rfam:Schistosoma mansoni, Puerto Rico, WGS project CABG01000000 data, contig: 0034